rnacentral:misc_RNA from 1 species
UACGGAGGGUGCGAGCGUUAAUCGGAAUUACUGGGCGUAAAGCGCGCGUAGGCGGUGUGAUAAGCCGGUUGUGAACGCCACGGGCUCAACUUGGGAACGGCAUCCGGAACUGUCAGGCUAGAGUGCAGGAGAGGAAGGUAGAAUUCCUGGUGUAGCGGUGAAAUGCGUAGAGAUCGGGAGGAAUGCCAGUGGCGAAGGCGGCCUUCUGGACUGACACUGACGCUGAGGUGCGAAAGCGUGGGGAGCAAACAGG